rnacentral:rRNA from 1 species
AACGAACGCUGGCGGCAGGCCUAACACAUGCAAGUCGAACGCCGUAGCAAUACGGAGUGGCAGACGGGUGAGUAACGCGUGGGAACCUACCUUACGGUCGGGAAUAGCUCAGGGAAACUUGGGGUAAUACCGGAUACGCCCUUACGGGGAAAGAUUUAUCGCCGUUAGAUGGGCCCGCGUAGGAUUAGCUAGUUGGUGAGGUAAUGGCUCACCAAGGCGACGAUCCUUAGCUGGUCUGAGAGGAUGAUCAGCCACACUGGGACUGAGACACGGCCCAGACUCCUACGGGAGGCAGCAGUGGGGAAUAUUGGACAAUGGGCGCAAGCCUGAUCCAGCCAUGCCGCGUGAGUGACGAAGGCCUUAGGGUUGUAAAGCUCUUUUGGCGGGGAAGAUAAUGACGGUACCCGCAGAAUAAGCUCCGGCUAACUUCGUGCCAGCCGCCGCCGUAA